ACCAUACACACACACCACACAUGCAUGCACGCACACACACGUGUGCACAUACCACAAACACACACACUACACACAUGUGCUCACACACACAUACCACACACACACCACCCACUCCCCCCACACACGCACACACACACCACACACUGCACACACGCACACUCCACACACACACUCCUCACACACACACACACACACACACCCCAAGACAGAGCAGUCUCACCACGACCGUCACCUCCCCUGUCCCACCCUGACCUCCCGGCCUCAGCACACAGGAAGCGGGGCCUCUUCCUGGCCUCUUCCUGGCCCAGCCUCCUCCUCUCUGAAGGGAUGUUUAUGUUUAGAGUCAGGAAUGUCCUAUUUCCUCCCAUUGUGACUUGGGACGAGGGUCCACACAGGUGGACGCAGCUGCUCAGCAGCACGGUGGGGGGGGCACAAGGUCACCAGCCACGCUGGGAAACAAGGCUCCUUGCACCUCUUCAGACCUCUCAGCCUCAUGGUCACCUCUCUGCAGUCACCUGUCCCCUCCAGGCCCUCCCCACAGCCACGUGUCUCCCUUGUCCCCUCUGCUCCCCCAGAACUCAUCAGCAGGUAGCUCUUCCCGCCUGGACCAGUCCCAGCCUCAAGUCUUGACAAGGUUCCCAUCAAGGGCCACCAUUCCUAACUGCCACUGCCUCGAAAGAGUACCCCACGGGGCCAGUGUGGCCACCAGCUGUUCCCACUGGCAGGGCGUCCACCCACGGCUGGGCCACACGUUCCAAUGGGGGAAGUUGUAAAGUGGGCUUCCCAGGAGGAGAGGUGUGCCCCCUCGCUGCCCCUGGGGUGACAAGAGGCCACCAGCACGCUGUC
rnacentral:lncRNA from 1 species